CUCGUAGGCGGUUCAGUAAGUCGGGUGUGAAAACUUUGGGCUUAACCCAAAGCGUGCAUCCGAUACUGCUGUGACUUGAGUUCGGUAGGGGAGUGGGGAAUUCCUAGUGUAGCGGUGAAAUGCGCAGAUAUUAGGAGGAACACCGGUGGCGAAGGCGCCACUCUGGGCCGAAACUGACGCUGAGGAGCGAAAGCAUGGGUAGCAAACA
rnacentral:rRNA from 1 species